UCGGAUUUUGCUGGAUGAUUUCGAAUGAGAACCCAAGCUUCUUUUAUAGCCAAUUUUGAGGUGGGCUUCUACAAUGUUAAAAAAUUGAUGGAACCUUGCACCAUCAGAUUAAGGGGAUAACAAGCCCAAAUCCGAUGGUUCUUCACGUCUAUCACCUUUUUAGGCGUAGCAGUGGCGGUUCCUAGGCCUGCUUUGGGUCAGAAAAUAAUUGGAAAAGAUGUAAAGUUGACAAGAGGG
rnacentral:lncRNA from 1 species